CAAACCUAAAAAAAAAUUCCAGCUCCUCCCCUCCCUCAAAGCUACGGCGGUCGGCCUUCAAAGGAGCCAAAGCGCGCGGCCCAGGCCACACUAUAUGGGUGGCCAUCCACCUCUCGGCCAGCAGCUAGCGAGGCGCUGGAAACCCGUCCAACGCAACCCCUAAACGUCGCAGGGGUUCAAUCCACUCUUUCCUUCCUCGAUCGAGAGAGAGCCACGCCCAAGGCCGACCACCACGUGCAGUGGCGCCACGACCAAAGCCAUUCCAGGACCGACCCUCAAACCUCCUCACUGACCAAGACAAACCCGACGGCGGUAGUUUGAAGGUGCUGUAAUUUGCGGGAGAUGGUGACCUUGUUGCUGCUGCUGCAGAGUAUGGCGUGGAGCAUGGGGCUGAGCAUGGCUUGGGCAGGAGCAACAACAACCGGGAUGGCUUGGGAUGCUGCAGCAGGUUGAGGAAACUCUCAAAAAUGGUGGGAGCACCUCGAAUGCAAACGGUGCUAUCAACGGAGGAGAUCAAAAGGGUAAAAAGAAAGGGCUUCCUGCUAAAAACUUGAUAUCCGAGAGGCAUUUGUGAUAAACAAAGAAUCAGUUUGUUAGGCAACCUGUUAGUGAAGAAUGCCAGCUGGCAUUUGUUAGAUUCCAUGUACCAGCCUGUAUGAAAA